rnacentral:rRNA from 1 species
UACGAAGGGGGCUAGCGUUGUUCGGAAUUACUGGGCGUAAAGCGCACGUAGGCGGACAUUUAAGUCAGGGGUGAAAUCCCGGGGCUCAACCCCGGAACGGCCUUUGAUACUGGGUGUCUUGAGUUCGGAAGAGGUGAGUGGAAUUGCGAGUGUAGAGGUGAAAUUCGUAGAUAUUCGCAGGAACACCAGUGGCGAAGGCGGCUCACUGGUCCGAUACUGACGCUGAGGUGCGAAAGCGUGGGGAGCGAACAGG